rnacentral:lncRNA from 1 species
CGGUAAGCACCUCAGAGAUAGCAGAAGAGAGCAAUAAGGGUAACCCCUUAGCGUCUUUUACCCUGGAUCGUAAGGAGCUAAGCCCAGGCGUGCCGAGGAAGCCGGCAGAAGCGAGUGUGGAAGAGCUUGGCGUCCCGUCGUUUUCGGUCUUUGUUCCAGGGCAGGCGGGCGAGGACGGAAGGACAGAGCGAGUGAGAGCAGCCUUGAGGGAGGGCGAGAAGGACAGGCGGCGUGACAGCGGCCGGCUGAGCGCUGCAGCGGAGCAUUCGGCAGCGAGGACGAGCGAGCCCCGCGGCCCGGCUGCGGCAGCAUCCCCUCAGCAGCAGUUUGAGGAGCAGAGUCGGCACGGUCUGGAUGCGUCUGCGUGGAGUCAGAAAGCCAACCUGGUUGAAAUGGACAUGCGACUCCUACAUCUACGUGAGAUUGCCCUGACUUCAACUGUUCAAGAUGAGAGCUGCAUCCAAGCACUUUGUUAAGUGGGUCAGCCCUGGGCUGUGACUGCUGCCUCGAGGAAGCCUGUUCUGAUAUCUCAGCCUUCCUUAGAGUGAGCUUUUACUUCAUCUCCAGCCUGUGCUUCUUCUGACCUAACAAACAGAAAAGCUGCCUGGGAAAAGAAGCUGAGCCCACCUUGCAAGUGCUCCCUUUCAGCUAAGUUGAAUGGAAGGAAUCUGAGCCCUUCUUUGGACGCUGCCUGAGAGCAUUAUUGUUGUCUUUUAAUUAUGUUCUGUUAAUAUAACAGCCAUUUAUUGACUUAAUGUAUUAGACAGCUGAGGUUAAUGGAUGUACUGUUGUAUUGUUCUAAUAGUGGAAUGGAAUAAAACCUGUUGAAUUACCCUGAACUUGAACA